UACGGAGGGUGCGAGCGUUGUCCGGAAUCACUGGGCGUAAAGGGCGCGUAGGUGGCGGAGCAAGUCAACGGUGAAAGCUCGACGCUCAACGUCGAGUCGGCCGUCGAGACUGCUUUGCUCGAGCACUGUAGAGGCAGAUGGAAUUCCGGGUGUAGCGGUGGAAUGCGUAGAGAUCCGGAAGAACACCGGUGGCGAAGGCGGUC
rnacentral:rRNA from 1 species